rnacentral:lncRNA from 1 species
UCAACUCAAAUAUUGCGAAUCGUUGGUACGCCAGAGUCAAUAGCAGGCCGUUUACCUCGCGAGCCGUGGCGUAAAUCGCUCGAAUCGCGUUUUCCCCGGUAAACAAGAUCCGGUGGAGACCGGCCAUUACGCAGUUGCGAUCGUGUAACGCGAAUAUCGAGAUUAUGGUUAUCGUGGCGAGUCCUUGAGCUAGUAUCGAGGCUUGACCUCGAUUCGGAGAAAAAAAAAAAGAAAUCUGAGCGCGAUGAUAUGGAGGAGAGUUUGAAAAAUUCGUGGAUUCUUUCUUCAGGAUGAUCACAGGUUUCCAUGAACGAGAUUCGGAGAGGAGAAGAAUAAGUGUAAUUUCAUGGGGCGUCGAAAAACCAUGGCAAACAAAACUCGUUUCUUCGAGAUACAACGUUUCAAAUUAUCAAGUUCAACUAAAUAAAGUCGACAAGCUCACAGUCCCUGCUUAUAAUUUGAUAUUUUCGUUGCCCCGACACCCAACACUGUUCUUCAAACAGAGCAAAUCCACAGAAGGAAUCUCAUAGAAGACCGAAUAAAGAACAAAUAGACAAGCCUUAAUAAUUGUUUACUAGAGUCGCAAAGAAAAUAAUGUGAUUAAUUCCUUUACUACUUAAUUAUUUAAUAAAUAUACAAAUAAUACACAAUAAGAAUGACAAUAUAUAAUAAAAAUAAAAACUAUAAUUUAAUUUUCAACAUCUCAAAUACAAUCGAAUAAUGGACCUAAGACAAAUGAAUAAAAAAAGAAGCAAAAGAAUCAACAACCCUUAAUCCAAAGAAAAGAACAACAAGUAUCACGAUAAUUAAAAAAAAGGGAGGAAAAUCAAUUAAUAAUAAAUUUCUACAAAACAUCGCACCUCUUCUCAUAACGAAUCCUUACGCAACGAAUCCUACAACUCCGCUCUCUUUCCCCUACAACACAAACGUUCACCGAACCAGUUUACACCCGUUCCCCCUAUUCAUCCUAAUCUCCGUGGACAGUGGUUUCAACGCGAAUCAACGCGACGGAGAGACAUGGAAAAGGCAACCGAGCGAGGUGGAACACGCCGCAUAGGAGCACCGUAGGUAAUUUAAAAAUGAGAAUUACGAGGCAUAGCGCCGCUCGUAACCCUCGAGCCAUGGAAUGUCAACGGUAACUACCGUCGUACGUAGGAAUAAUAUCGACUUCUUUACGGGUCGUUGUAACAGUACAAGGGCCCCUGAGUGAGCUUCGCUCCCCGCCGUGAAUCGUCGUGAAGAGAAUGUCGGCUGCCCCCCUUCUCCUCCCUCCCCCCGGCCCGUCCCGCGGUAUAUACCUACGCAACCGUGCCAGAUGGAGAAAACAAAUAUAGUGUGAUCGCUUAACUGUUGCUGUCUAAAGUGACUUUCGUUCGGCCGGGGCACGGCCGAGUCACGUGUUCGAAUAUUUCGUGGGGGGAGGAUUGUUCGGGGAACGGGGCCAUGGACGAGUCGCGAGGGUGUCGGGGAUGAUGUAUACAAUAAUUCGAGCGAUGUUGAAUCUGGGCUGAAUAUUUUCGAGACGAGAAAUAAAUUUCACGAUGUCACUAA